rnacentral:rRNA from 1 species
AUACGGAGGAUGCAAGCGUUAUCCGGAUUUAUUGGGUUUAAAGGGUGCGUAGGCGGAAUACUAAGUCAGCGAUGAAAUCCUGCAGCUUAACUGUAGAACUGUCAUUGAUACUGGUAUUCUUGAAUGCAGUUGAGGUAGGCGGAAUGUGUAAUGUAGCGGUGAAAUGCUUAGAUAUUACCCAGAACACCGAUUGCGAAGGCAGCUUACUAAACUGUGAUUGACGCUGAGGCACGAAAGCGUGGGGAGCAAACAGGAUUAGAUACCCUGGUAGUCCACGCCGUAAACUAUGAUUACUCGCUGUUGGCGAUAUAUUGUCAGCGGCUGAGCGAAAGCAUUAAGUAAUCCACCUGGGGAGUACGAUCGCAAGGUUGAA